GCGGAGGCCGAGGAAGAAUUGGAGCCUGAUUCAGCCUGACGGAAACAGGUUCCCAGAACGCAGUGGACCCUUCCUGCUUGCCUGGUGACUCUACGUGUGGUGGGAACUCGAGAGCUUUUUAAUAACCUCAUUAGCACUAUUGACACUUUGAGUACAGAGUGAAACAAAACAAUUAUUUUCUUCACAGAUGAUACUGUAGCCAAGUUUCUCAUAUCUUAUGCCUUUAUUUUGUAACACGAAUGCUAGAUUUUUAAAUAUUUAUUUCUUUUAAGUUUAAUGUUGAGAAUGUGAGCUCAUUACUCCAGCCCAAGGAAACAAUUGUCCUGUCAUUUAUGUCUUUAUCAAAGAACAAACCAGAAUCCAAAACCGCUCAGAACUCAGAGGACUUUGGUAAGCAGAACCUGCUUUCACGGCCGGAAUAGGGGAGAGAGAAGGGAGUACAAGGGUUUCUCUGCAGAAGCACAAUCCAGCUGAGGCUGAUGCAGGUUUGUGGGAAACUUACACAACUGGGGCUGGGAGGCUGUAAGCGGUCCUCUCCAGGAAGAAUGGUAGUAACCACAGGAGCAUCUCAAACUGGGCCUACUCUAUUGAUAAUAGAAUGUCUAAGUACCUUGUAGAUAUAACAGAGCCAAGACUGCAAGUCAUAUGGCCCAGGCAUGUACAAUAGGAAAGAUUUGACCUCUGACAUCCAAAACCAACAAUUCCUCCCCACGGAACCAGGAAGACCAGGACACAACCAGAACCUGAACAUCAGAACCAUUUCAAAAGCGAGGGGGUCUGACGGCCAGGAAGAUCCAGGGCUAAAAUCAGCCUCAACGUACCUUACCAAAAAUAGUCACAUUUGAAGCUCUCCAAUCAGACCUUACCACACCAAAAUCCUUUCUGCCUUCCAAUCCCUUGAAACUUGCCGCAGACUCAAAUUUGGGAGACAGAUUUCAGCCAUGCCUUCUGUGUCAGCCUCUCAAUGAAUUGUUUUUUAUCUCAAAAGCUGGUGCCGUAGUAUGGCUUCUAAUUACAUCAAGCAGUGAGACCAUUUGCUCAAUAACAGAAUAAUGCAAAAUUGUCCAUUUUUCUUUAUACAAUGUUACACAUACUUCACUAAAAUUACUCUCCUCAAAAUAAUAUAAAAUUAAGAAUAUAAAAUUGCUAGAGCCUCUCCAAGGGCCUUGCAAGGUACCCUGUGAAAGUGAUGGGCCCUGAGCAUAAGCUUCUUUGGCUUCCCCAUUAAGUCUGUCUGAAGGUCUGCUAAGGUGUGUCAGUGCAGAGAACGUCCUCAGUACCUAGGAGUGCGACUUCCUGCCUAUCUCACAAUUUUCGUGUCAUUCAUUUCUGUGACUCCCACCUCUUUACAAAAGAUAUGUAGAAGCUCCAUGCACCUACUUUUUGGGGGUGACCACUAAUUAUUACUACUAUUAUUAUUAUUCAGCCCCAUGACUUCCUAUAUUAUUCUUAGAGAUCACUUGGGAAACUGAUUAUCUUGAUUUUAACAGAAUGAAGUUUUCAAAGCUGUUGACCUUUAUAAAAAUCUAGUCUCCAUGCACCUAUUUUUUUGGAAUCAUUUAAAAAUUAUUCCGAGCUUACUCUGCUUUCCUUUUUAGAGGCCUCAUAGAUACAGACAAAGAAUCUUUGCUUGGCCAAACUCUACUCAGCCUUCUGAAUAUUCUUCUAGGCCCAUCUGUGCACUUCCAUGUAAAAUCCAGUUUUCGCAAGACCCCUGCUAAGUCAGUUUAGCCUGAAUUCACCUUACCCCAGAGAUUCCCUCUUGGUAAUUUUUCCAUUUGCUGACCCCUACCCUGCUCCUUGGCUCUAUGGUCCCACUUGCCCAUGCUGUACUCAGAGUUGAGCCCAGUCUCUCUCCUUCACUGCAAUACCCCAUCGCUGUGGUCCCCA
rnacentral:lncRNA from 1 species